rnacentral:lncRNA from 1 species
UUUUAAAAAUCUAUAACAAACAGAUGCGAAACAAUUAAAAGUUAUUAUUUUUAUAAAAAAGUGAUUUUUUUCUAAAAUAAGCUAUAACAAACGGGCUCUAAGAGUAGCUUAUAAAAUAAUAGAUUUUUUUUAGAGGAGAGAGAAAAGAAAUGUUAAAAGAAGAAAGUUGUUUGUAAUAAAAAAAUCACUUUUAUAAGUUGUAUCCAAACAAACUAAAGAUUAUUUUAUUUAAAAAGAGUGAUUUUUCUAAAAAUCUCUAAAAACUAAUAUCUAAAUUAUUUUAAAUCAAAAUUACUAUUUUUUUAAUCAGUAACAAACGCACCCUGGUUUUUAUUAUAAUAAACAAACACAAAGUAAAUUCAACUUUUCUAAAAAUCUCUAAAAACUAAUCUCUAAAUUAUUUUACAUCAAAAUCACUAUUUUUUUAAUUUGUAAUUAACGCACCCUAAAUAUGAGAAAAAAUCUUGUCAAAACAAAAAAAAAGAGAAAAAAUAAUAGUAACAGUAACAACAGUACAUAUGACAUUCAAAUUAAAUCACAUGCUUUAAAAAAUCAAGAUAAGUUUUCAACUUGAUGUUAAAUUUCAUCUUAAUUAAAUUAAUAAAAAAUGUUUUAAAUGUUAAAAAAUAUGGCAUCAUAGAAAAGUAAAGAGAAAAGUUAGAAAUAUUACCGUACAUCAUUUUAUUUGUGUUUGACAAACAUAGAAUACAAAAGUUAAUAAUAUGUGAGUAAUUAUAUGUUUUUUUGUUGUUCUUCUUUUCGGAUCAUAAGAAUGCGUGCCUUAAAAACAUAUGAUAAACCAUUUAGUAUAGAAAUAUUGCUAUUUGUUUUUGACAAAAAUAGAAAUAUUGCUCUUAAGAGUUGGACAUUUAAUUUUUUAAAAGUCAAAUAGUUGUAUUUUAUAAUGUAAUAAUUCCACUUUUGGAUUUCUUAACAUAUAUCUUCAAGGCACGCGUUAAUAGAUCCAUAAAAUUAUAGACGAAACAAGAUAACUUUUUAACUAACCUAUUUCGCAAUAACAAAUAUUAGAAAGACACUUCCCAACUUUUGGAGGGUCACAGAACUUAUCUGGACAGUCAUAAUCAGUCUUGCAGCUACUAAU